GUUGGUGGCGUGAGUUGUCUGCUUGAUUGCGUUAACGAACGAGACCCCUGCCUGCUAAAUAGUUCCUUCAAUGAAUGUUCAUUGAUGAGGUCUUCUUAGAGGGACUUUCGGUGACUAAUCGAAGGAAGUUGGGGGCAAUAACAGGU
rnacentral:rRNA from 1 species